rnacentral:lncRNA from 1 species
AUGCUGGGCGCGGGGGGAGGUGCGAGUAACCUCGGAGUAAAGUCGGAGUAAAGUCGGAGUAACCUCGGAGUAAAGCAGGAGUAGCCUGGGGGGCAAGGUGAGACCUCGGAGUAAGGGGUGUUCAGGCGCAGGGUGAAGUGGGAGUAACCGUGGGGCGCGGUGAAGCGCCAGAGUAAAGGGUGUGUAACUUCUGAGUAAAGUGGGAGUAGGCCUGGAGUAGCCUUUCGCCUCAGAGUAGUGGAGCCCCCCCAGCAGCGGUGUGGGGGGCUCUGAGGAAGGGCUGAGUAACUUUGGAGCAAUGGCUGGCAUGGGAGUAACGCUUACAUGGCCUCAGAGUAAGGGCUGAGCAACCUCUGUGUAUCUGCCAUGAGCUGUAGUAACUGGCUAACAGUGUCACACCUGCCCCAGUCACGGCCUGUAGUAAGGACUGAGCACCCUUGGAGUAACAGAGGAAACGAUGAGUAGUGCCACAGCGAGCAGCGGAAGUUGGCUGAGUAACCUUCGAGUAAGGAACUGAAAGUGCAGCAAGGAAGAAACAAACAGAACGGAACCCAAGAAACCUCUGAGUAAAGGCACUGCAGGGGCUGAGAAACCUCUGAGUAAGCCUUGAGUAGCACAAGGGGAGCCAAAGGGCCUUUAAGAAGGUCAACUAAACAAUGAGUAAGUGUGGAGCAAGGCCCACGUCCCCUCUGAGUAAACCACUGAGGAGCCUCCACAGGAGCCCAGUUACCGGUGUGGAGUGUUGAGAGCCCAGAAGUAACCUGUCAGUAAGGGCUGAGUAGCCUCUGAGUAAAGAGAGGCAGGCUGAGAUGUGUGUAACGCUGGAGUAGUGCCUGAGGAAGGGGCAACGGGGGAGUAAAGCCUUAAAUAGCAUGGGCUGAGUAAAGUCGAAGCAGCUACAAAGGAGCAGGGAGCGAGCGCAUAACCUCAGAGGAAAGGCUGAGUAGUGAGGACAUGGGAGCUGAGUAAAGGCAAAAGGAAGCGGGUGGAGAGAGGGCUGAGUAACCCUGGAGUAAGGUCCAAGUAGUGAUAAAGUACCAAAUAACCCCAAACGAAGGGCUGAGUUAGCCCAGUGUAAUGACACCCACGAGUAACCCUAGAGUAAGGUACGUGUAGUGAUAAAAGUACCAAAUAUGCCAAAAGUAAGGGCCGAGUAAGCCCAGUGUAAGGCCCCCCCCCCCAUAAAUAACCCUGGAUUAGGGGGGCAGACCCUGACCCGUGGCUGAGUAGUGGUGGAGUAACCCUGGAGCAGGAGCUGAGUAACCACGGAAUAAGGAGGAGCUGGGAAACGGGGGAGUUAGGAGGGAGCAGGGACAGCGUAGUGCUGAAAUAAGGCUGGAGUAGGGCAGAGGCAGCCCCACAGCACGGCCUCAGCUCCUCGGUGUAAAGGGGGAGUAAACCCAGAGUAAGGCCACAGAGUAGCCACAGCCUCAGGAGCAAGUGGGGGGGAGGGGGGAACCACUCACCCAGGGCCCCCCCGGGACCGAGGGAGCCCCAAGUAACCUCGGAGUAACCUCGGAGUAACCUCGGAGUAAGCCCGGAGGAAGGGCACAGCCACUCCUCACCCCCCCGAAUGCCCCAGAAGGGGGCCGGGGCCCCACCCACCCCCGGAAGACACGUAGCCCCGCCCCCUUGUAGCCCCGCCCCCUUGUAGCCCCGCCCCCCAUAGACUCUGUAUUGCCUUGAAAAAAUAAACUAA